CAAAGAGGGGUGGAGGUUGUUGUUGCCUUUUUCUUUCUUUCUUUCUUUCUUUUUUUUUUCUUUUAUGAAUGGAGGGCGGCGGCGACUGCUGCAGCUGGCUCAGCUGCGCUGGCUAUACCCCCUCCCAGCCUGCGAGAGGAGGAAGCUAGUGGAGGACCUGCCCCAACAAAACCAAGGAGUAAAUCAACAGAGAAGACAACAUGCAAAUAACUGUGUGGUGCUCAGCCCCUGAGAACGGAGAGACUUCCUCUAAACCUGGGCCCAGAGUAAACCUGGGGAUUAACUCCAAAGUAAAAGACGUGGAGUGAAGCCUAACAGGCCUUGCCGAAAAUUAGACGUUUCAUCCCUGCUCCAGUGACAUCUGCAUUAUUGAGUGGGAGAGAAAAAGGAUCCCUAACAGAUGAAGAGGCUGUCGGGGGCGC